GCCCCCGUAGCGCAAUGGUAGCGCGUAAGACUGUAUGUUGCGCAAUCAAUCUUGACGUUAAAGACCGAUCAACUAACAAAUCUGCAGUCUAGCUUCAAAAAGCGAUCUUAAGGUUGCGAGUUCGAGCCUCGCCGGGGGCU